UAAGAGAGCCUUUUCAGGCGGUGCUUUGAUGCUUACAACAAUGGAUGGGGAGGAUUUCACUCGUCCUGUGAAUUCAGAUGCAGUUAAGAGAUACUUUGCCUAAAAAAAAAAAAAUAUAUGCAAAUGAAAAAAGAAUGAAAAAAAACAGAAUUGCUCGCUAAGUUGAAAACCCGAAAGGGCGGCUUAGGCAAAAAUGAGCGUCUCGGUGGAGAACCCGCAAGGGUAAUCCAGGCAAAAAUUAG
rnacentral:lncRNA from 1 species